GGCCUGAGUCCAGAGCCUCAGAUCUUGCACUGGCAGCACACGGGGACACAGCAGCUAGACUGGGAGCAGCAGGGUUUGCAGCAGCUGGACUGGCAGCAGGAUGACCCACAGCCUGAGGAGCAACAGCAGGGCUUACAGCAGCUAGACUGGGAGCAGCAGGGCUUACAGCAGUUGGACUGGCAGCAGGAUGACCCACAGCCUGAGGAGCAGCAGGGUUUGCAGCAGCUGGACUGGCAGCAGGAUGACCCACAGCCUGAGGAGCAGCAGGGCUUACAGCAACUGCGCUGGGAGCAACCACAAGAACCACAGACCCCCUUAGAACCCCCACAAGAGCCACAGCCCCCCUUGGAGCCCCCACAGGAGCCACAGCCCCCCUUGGAGCCCCCACAGGAGCCACAGACAGAACAGGAACAGGCUGGCACACAGCAGCACACGGGCUUGCAGCAGCAGACAGGCACACAGCAGCUGGAGCCACAGCCCCCACAGCCAGAGCCACAGCCCCCACAGCCGGAGCCACAGCCCCCACAGCCAGAGCCACAGCCUCCGGAACAGCCACAGCAGCCCAUGGUUCUGGUGGAUUGAGGGUGGAGCAGGUAGAGGAGCAGGUGAGAGGGAGGUGCAGGUGUGGAGCUCCCUGAGCCCGGGCUCUUUAUAUCCCUGUCCAGAGGUCAGGCACAAUACAGGGUCCCUUCCUUGUGACUGUUUACACUAUUUUUCCAGAGCUCUGUUUUUUCCCUCUUUGCUAGUGACUUCCUCCUGGCUCAGUUGAGCAUCUGCUUUCUUUGUGUGCUAAAUUUGUCUUUUUCCCUAUUUGUUUUGGCCCCUACAAGUAAUACCUCAGCUCCAGGCUGUCUGGUGCUUCCCACAAAGCCCCAGGGUGCUGGUCACCUGCUCUCUGCUGACCACAUGUGACCAAUGGUCAACAGCCUCUGCCCAAGCGCUCUCAUCUUUCCUGUGUUGACUCCCCCAGAUAAUAUUAAUUUUAUGUUUUUAGAUUUCAAAAGUUAUCCAUGGUCUUUGUAUUUUACUCAUGCUAGUCUCAGUUUCGCAUUGUUGUAAAGAAAUACUGGAGGCUGGGUAAUUUAUGAAGGAAAGAGGUUAGAUUGGCUCACGGUUCUGCAGGCUGCACAAUCAUGGCACCCACCUCUGCUCAGCUUCUGGGGAGGCCCUCAGGGAGCUUUUCCUCACGGCGGAAGGUGAAGCAGGAGUGGGCACGCCACAUGGUGAGAGUGGGAGCAAGGGGUGAGGAGAGGCUGCAGACUUGUGAACAACCAGAUCUGAGUGAACGCACUCAUCGCUAAGGGGAGGGUGCUAAGCCCGUCAUGAGGGAUCCACCCCCAUGAUCCAAACACCUCCCUGCAGGCCCCUCCUUCAACACUGGGGAUUACAUUUCAACAAGAGAUUUGGAGGGAACAUCCCAACUAUAUCAUUAUACCCCGACCCCUAAAUCUCAUGUCCUUGCAUUGCAAAAUAGAAUCAUCUCUUCCCAACAGUCCUCCCAAUGUCUUGACUGAUUCCAACAUUGAGUCCAAAGUCCAAAGUCCGAGCUCCUUCCACCUAUGAACCUAUGAAAACCAAAACA
ensembl:lncRNA